rnacentral:rRNA from 1 species
GACGAACGCUGGCGGCGUGCCUAAUACAUGCAAGUUGAGCGAUGAAGAUUGGUGCUUGCACCAAUUUGAAGAGCAGCGAACGGGUGAGUAACGCGUGGGGAAUCUGCCUUUGAGCGGGGGACAACAUUUGGAAACGAAUGCUAAUACCGCAUAACAACUUUAAACAUAAGUUUUAAGUUUGAAAGAUGCAAUUGCAUCACUCAAAGAUGAUCCCGCGUUGUAUUAGCUAGUUGGUGAGGUAAAGGCUCACCAAGGCGAUGAUACAUAGCCGACCUGAGAGGGUGAUCGGCCACAUUGGGACUGAGACACGGCCCAAACUCCUACGGGAGGCAGCAGUAGGGAAUCUUCGGCAAUGGACGAAAGACUGACCGAGCAACGCCGCGUGAGUGAAGAAGGUUUUCGGAUCGUAAAACUCUGUUGGUAGAGAAGAACGUUGGUGGGAGUGGAAAGCUCAUCAAGUGACGGUAACUACCCAGAAAGGGACGGCUAACUACGUG